GCCUGCUUCGUCUAGUGGUUAGGAUUUUCCUUUCGUAGUCUUACAAGGGAACGGUCACCCGUUCGAUUCGGGUAGUAGGCA